GGAGCGAAAGGGUGGGGAGCAAACAGGCUUAGAUACCCUGGUAGUCCACCCCGUAAACGUUGGGAACUAGUGUGGGGUCCAUUCCACGGAUUCCGUGACCGAUGGCGAAGGCAGACUCUGGGCCGUAACUGACGCUGAGGAGCGAAAGGGUGGGGAGCAAACAGGCUUAGAUACCCUGGUAGUCCACCCCGUAAACGUUGGGAACUAGUGUGGGGUCCAUUCCACGGAUUCCGUGAC
rnacentral:rRNA from 1 species